rnacentral:rRNA from 1 species
GACGAACGCUGGCGGCGCGCUUAACACAUGCAAGUCGAACGCCCUAGCAAUAGGGAGUGGCAGACGGGUGAGUAACACGUGGGAACGUGCCCUUCGGUUCGGAAUAACUCAGGGAAACUUGAGCUAAUACCGGAUACGUGCGAGAGCAGAAAGAUUUAUCGCCGAAGGAUCGGCCCGCGUCCGAUUAGCUAGUUGGUGAGGGAAUGGCUCACCAAGGCGACGAACGGUAGCUGGUAUGAGAGGAUGACCAGCCACACUGGGACUGAGACACGGCCCAGACUCCUACAGGAGGCAGCAGUGGGGAAUAUUGACCAAUGGGCGCAAGCCUGAUCCAGCCAUGCCGCGUGAGUGAUGAAGGCCCUAGGGUUGUAAAGCUCUCUCGCCAGGGACGAUAAUGACGGUACCUGGAUAAGAAGCCCCGGCUAACUUCGUGCCAGCCGCCGCGGUAA